rnacentral:lncRNA from 1 species
CCGUUAAGAACAAGGUGCGUCCCUCCCAUAUUUCUUGUCACCCAAAAGGAAAAGAAAAGAGAAGGGGGCAUCCAAGAGUUGGAUGCCCCAUAUCUCAAUCAUCUUGUCUCUCCUCUUCUCCUCCCUUCUUGAAAGAUUUUUGAAAUCUUUUCUUAUUAAUUUUUGAGCAUCAAAAAGAGACUUCUCUGCUGGUUAUAUAGUAAAAAAUUGAAAAAGAAAAGUUCUUCCCAAGGAGAGAAAGAUCAAGGAAGAAGAAGGGUCUUCUUUUUUGCGUGCAACCUUGAAGAAGGAGUUCUUCUUUCAUAUUUUUUUAUUUUUUUAAGAUAAAAAUUAGAUUAAAUUUGAUUUUUAAUAUUUAAAUUUAGAAG